rnacentral:rRNA from 1 species
AGGGCACCAACGGGAGUGGAGCCUGCCUGUUAAUUUGACUCAACAGAGCUAAACUCACCCGGCCCGGUUGCCGUCAGUGUUGACUUACUGAUAGCUCUUUCUGAAUUGGCAGGUGGGUGGUGCAUGGCCGUUCUUAGUUGGUGGAGGGAUUUGGCUGGUUGAUUCCUAUUACGAAUCAUACUUUGGCCUAUUAAAUAGCUCAGUCGUUUCGCUGCGCGAUUCUUACUUCUUACAGGGACGGCGGCGUCUAGCCGUCUGAAAUAUAGCAAUAUAACGUCUGAGAUGCCCUUAGAUGUAAGGGGCUGCACACGGGCUACACUGAAAGAAUCGCCGUGUUGCGAGAACCUAUCCCGGAAGGACCCCCCCUGACCAGUAUAUUCUUUCUCGACUGUCAUGGGGAAUUGCGAUUAUUCCCAUUAGACUAGGAAUAUCCCGGGAGUGUCCCCCUGGAAGCUCGCGUUGAUUACUCUCCUGUUCCUUUGUACACACCUUACCGGAUAUACUACCGAUUGGAUGACU